GUUUUAAUAAUUUAAAAAAAAUACUGAUUUUGUAAAUCAGCAAUAAGAAACCUCUUUUAAAACU
rnacentral:tRNA from 1 species